CAAUAGCUCAGUUGGUAGUAGCGCAUGACUGUUAAUCAUGAUGUCGUAGGUUCGAGUCCUACUGG
rnacentral:tRNA from 1 species